rnacentral:rRNA from 1 species
AGUGAACGCUGGCGGUAGGCCUAACACAUGCAAGUCGAACGGCAGCACAGUAAGAGCUUGCUCUUACGGGUGGCGAGUGGCGGACGGGUGAGGAAUACAUCGGAAUCUACUUUUUCGUGGGGGAUAACGUAGGGAAACUUACGCUAAUACCGCAUACGACCUACGGGUGAAAGCAGGGGAUCUUCGGACCUUGCGCGAUUGAAUGAGCCGAUGUCGGAUUAGCUAGUUGGCGGGGUAAAGGCCCACCAAGGCGACGAUCCGUAGCUGGUCUGAGAGGAUGAUCAGCCACACUGGAACUGAGACACGGUCCAGACUCCUACGGGAGGCAGCAGUGGGGAAUAUUGGACAAUGGGCGCAAGCCUGAUCCAGCCAUACCGCGUGGGUGAAGAAGGCCUUCGGGCUGUAAAGCCCUUUUGUUGGGAAAGAAAAGCGGCAGGUUAAUACCCCGCUGUUCUGACGGUACCCAAAGAAUAAGCACCGGCUAACUUCGUG